rnacentral:lncRNA from 1 species
ACCUCUUUAUGUACUGCCCUAUGGAGAGGCACACAUGUCAAGAAACUGAGGGAGUGCCUUCCAGUCAACAGCCAGCCAGGAACUAAGGUGCUCAGUACAGCAGCCUCCACAAAGGACUGAACAAUGCCAACAGCUAUUUGACUGUGCUUGGAAGAUCUCCGUUUAGUUAACCCUUCAGAUGAGACCGCAGCCCUGGCCAGCAAACAAAUUGCAGCCUAUGGAAAGACCUUAAGGCAGAAGCACCCAACUGAACCACCCGAGGGCUCUGACUUACAGAAACUGUGAGCAUAUAGUGAAAUGGCCUCUACCUUAUUUUGAAUGGAUUUCUGGGAUAAAGUUCUUCAGUGAUAACAUGUUUGAACACAAAUCAGAGCGAACGACGUGAAAAGAGUUCUGUUUCUCCUGGAAGGAUGCCACUUGUUUCUACUCCAGGGGAAAUGUCUUCCAAGCUCUUUACCAAAUCUGCAAGCUGAACCAACUCAACUGUGGCUGCCUUGCCCACCUGAAGACCUCAGGAUCCACCAGCAGCCCAAGACACCUCGGAAGCUGUUUCAAGGACAAGCGUCGCCUGCACACGUCAGCACAAAUGGGAACAUGAUGAGUGAUGCUGCCUGGAGUUAAAGGAGGCCAGGAGCACCAGAAGCUGGAGGAGGCCGGGGUGGAUUCUCGCCUGGAGGCUUCAGUGGGAGCACGAGCUCCCGACACUUCGGUUCCAUCUCUUGUUUAAAGGCACCCAGUUUCUCAUCAUUUGUUACAGCACCAUGGAAAACCCACACACAAGUGAAGCCCCGACCCACCUCCCAAGUGCCCAUCUGAGCACCCCUCGUGGACUCUGAGCAGGGGGUUGCCAUCACCAACUCCAAGUCUUGCAGCCCCUCUUCCCUUCAGUCUGGCUGCCACCUUCUUCAUUGCCCUGGAAAAAAAUAAUGAAGUUUCACCAUUUAAAGGGUUUCAGUGCAGCUUGCUAUGGGAACACUGGAGAGUAACACAAAUGGCCAAUUGUCCUAAUAGCCACCAUGGAUUGGAUGGAUGCUAACAACAGGCUCACAGUUCUCCUUCUGUUGCCUCCUUUUAUCCACAUGAGAAUCAAACAAGUAGGUGCUGCUGGUAUUACUGUAUUUUUCUCAUUUUAAAGAUCAGGAUGGGGAGGGUUGAGGAGGUUAAGGAAGUUGUUAGAAGUUACACUGAAGUUAAGAAAGGAAAAAGGACUUAGAAACUUAUUCUUCCAACUUUAGAACCACGGUCAGUGACCAAGGCCCUGCUUAGAACUUUCUGAAGGUUGCAGCUGGCCUUCUACCUGGAGUUUUGACUUCCUUUCCGAGAAAGGAACUUGAAUGGCAAUCACAAGAAAGUUGAGAACUUCUCUUUCAUAUUUUAAGCAUUCAUUUUUUUUUAUAUUUAUUUUAAUUUACAAAUACUAAUUGUAUAUAUGUAUAAGGUAAGAUAUGAUAGUUUGAUAUGGCUACCUUGUAAUAAAAUGAGCCUCAUUACCAA